GACGGAGGGGCUAGCGUUGUUCGGAAUUACUGGGCGUAAAGCGCACGUGGGCGGCUUCUUAAGUCAGGGGUGAAAUCCUGGAGCUCAACUCCAGAACUGCCUUUGAUACUGAGGAGCUUGAGUCCGGGAGAGGUGAGUGGAACUGCGAGUGUAGAGGUGAAAUUCGUAGAUAUUCGCAAGAACACCAGUGGCGAAGGCGGCUCACUGGCCCGAUACUGACGCUGAGGCACGAAAGCGUGGGGAGCAAACAGG
rnacentral:rRNA from 1 species